rnacentral:tRNA from 1 species
GCCCUUGUGGUGAAAUUGGUAGACACGCUGGCUUCAGGUGCCAGUGGUAGCAAUACUGUACUGGUUCAAGUCCAGUCAAGGGCA